GACGAACGCUGGCGGCGUGCCUAACACAUGCAAGUCGAACGGACUUGAUUCUUCGGGAUCAAGUUAGUGGCGGACGGGUGAGUAACGCGUGAGCAACCUGCCUUUCGGAGGGGGACAACAGCUGGAAACGGCUGCUAAUACCGCAUGAUAUAUAAUAACCGCAUGGUUAAUAUAUCAAAGAUUCAUCGCCGAAAGAUGGGCUCGCGUCUGAUUAGCUAGUUGGUAGGGUAAUGGCCUACCAAGGCAACGAUCAGUAGCCGGACUGAGAGGUUGAACGGCCACAUUGGGACUGAGAUACGGCCCAGACUCCUACGGGAGGCAGCAGUGGGGAAUAUUGGGCAAUGGGGGAAACCCUGACCCAGCAACGCCGCGUGAAGGAAGAAGGCUUUCGGGUUGUAAACUUCUUUGACGAGGGACGAAAGAAAUGACGGUACCUCGAAAACAAGCCACGGCUAACUACGUG
rnacentral:rRNA from 1 species